rnacentral:rRNA from 1 species
UGGGGAAUUUUGGACAAUGGGCGCAAGCCUGAUCCAGCAAUGCCGCGUGCAGGAUGAAGGCCUUCGGGUUGUAAACUGCUUUUGUACGGAACGAAAAAGCUCUCUCUAAUACAGGGGGUGAAUGACGGUACCGUAAGAAUAAGCACCGGCUAACUACGUGCCAGCAGCCGCGGUAAUACGUAGGGUGCAAGCGUUAAUCGGAAUUACUGGGCGUAAAGCGUGCGCAGGCGGUUUUGUAAGACAGAGGUGAAAUCCCCGGGCUCAACCUGGGAACUGCCUCGGUGACUGAAGAGCUGGAGUGCGGCAGAGGGGGAUGGAAUUCCGCGUGUAGCAGUGAAAUGCGUAGAUAUGCGGAGGAACACCGAUGGCGAAGGCAAUCCCCUGGGCCUGCACUGACGCUCAUGCACGAAAGCGUGGGGAGCAAACA